rnacentral:rRNA from 1 species
UACGGAGGGUGCAAACGUUGCUCGGAAUUAUUGGGCGUAAAGCGCACGUAGGCGGACUGUUAAGUCGGACGUGAAAGCCCUCAGCUUAACUGAGGAAGUGCAUUCGAAACUGGCAGUCUUGAGUAUGGAAGAGGGUCGCGGAAUUCCCGGUGUAGAGGUGAAAUUCGUAGAUAUCGGGAGGAACACCAGUGGCGAAGGCGGCGACCUGGGCCAAUACUGACGCUGAGGUGCGAAAGCGUGGGGAGCAAACAGG